ACCUCUUUGCUUAAUAAUUCCUUCCAUUUAUUUUGUGAUAUUAGCUUUAUGUUUGUGUUUGGCUUUUAAAAACAUGAUGCCACAUCCAGAAGUACUAGCAAUUUGAGUUAAAGAUUGCAUCAGAGACAAAACAAAAGUUUUAAGGGGAAAUUUGGAGAUUUUGUAACCAAAAUGGAAGCAAAUGAAGCAGGGGAAUCAUUUUUCACAACAAAACUAUUUGGUCAAGAAACCAAGAGAACAUGUGAAAGAAUUUGGAGAUGCUUAAAGAAAGACAAAGUCACAAGCGUUGGUAUAUAUGGAAUUAAAGGGGUUGGAAAAACAACCUUAGCCAAGCUCAUCAAUCAUCUUCUGCAACAAAAAACUCAAUCCCAAGUUUUUUGGAUAAAUAUUUCUCAAGAAUUCAGCAUCAAGGAAUUGCAAAAUGAUAUUGCUGCAGCAAUUGGAUUUGAUCUUUUAGAGGAAGAUGAUGAAGAGAAGAGGCGAUCACGUUACACGAAUCGUUCAAAGGGAAAAAGGAUUUUGUUCUAAUAUUGGAUGAUGUAUUAGAAGAUAUACCUUUAAAGAUGUUAGGAAAUCCUUUGAAAGUUGAAGGGGGAAGGUUGAAAUCCUUCCAGAUUCUUUUUUCGAGCACAUGAAGGCGUUACGUGUUCUUGAUUUAAGUCACACUUGCAUUGAGAAGUUGCCUGAUUCUGUAUCAGACUUGGAGAAUCUCACUGCUCUUUUACUUGCAUUUUGUUGGAACCUAAGGUCAAUGCCAACUUUGGAAAAACUCGAGGCGCUACAGGAAUUGGAUUUGAGUGGCACCGUGAUUCAAAAUCUGCCUGAAGCCCUUGAGACUUUGUUCAACCUCAAAUGCCUGAAUUUGCAUGCAAUGCGUUGGCUCGAGAAAAUACCAAUAGGGAUAUUGCCCCAACUCUCCACUCUCCAACGCUUAGUGUUAUCGCAUCAUAUAGACGUAGAAGGUGAGGAACUAGAGGAGCUAAAAGAGUUGGAAGAAUUUCAAGGCAGGUUCUCUAAUGUUCAUAACUUCAACCAAUUCAUUACAGCUAGGGAUGCCUUAGGUUUUAUAGAAUUUUAGUAGGUCAAUAUGAUGGCUUGGGACCAAUGACACAAAUCCAAUUCAAUCAUAACAGAUUUUCUGAUAAAUUAGUCAAGUGUUAUGGACUUGGGAAAGAAGAUGAACUGUUAUUGCUUCCACAGGACAUCGAGCACCUGAAAAUUGAGAGCUGCAAUAACUUCAGUGGCUGUCUUUCAGAUUGUUUGCCGCGUCUUUAUGAUUCUAUAGAUUUAAAGUACUUCAAAGUACGUUGGUGCAACAAACUAGAGUACCUUAUGAGGAUAGAAGAGGGACAAGAAUCCGUCUUAUUUCAUUUUCUCGAGCAUCUUGAUCUCCUCGAAUUACAUAGUUUCAUUGGCAUUUUUGAUGAAUGGGAAAGAAGUUUUAAGAGAUUCAAUUUCACUAGCUGGUAUCUUUUCUUGCCUUAGAAUGAUACGAAUCGAGAGAUGUCACAGUAUUAAGAAGCUAUUUCCAAUUGGUUUAUGCUCAAACAUGCAAAAUCUUGAGAGAAUAUAUGUCCUCUCUUGUAGUCAAAUAGAGGAAAUAAUUGCAGAUGAAAAUGAUGGAAUCGUCGUCCUCCCUAAAUUGACAAGAAUAUACUUAUGGUCUUUGCCUGAAUUGAAAAGCAUAUGCAAUGGAAAAAUGGUAUGUAAUUCAAUCAAGAAGGUGUCAAUAAAGGAAUGUGGUAAGUUAAGGAAAUUGCCUUUCUUUUUUUCCCCUGAAGAGGGAGAUGAGAAAUUUACCAUUGCUUCAACUCUUAAAGAAAUUGCUGUACAUUCAAGUGAUAAAGAAUGGUGGGAAUCUUUGGAUUGGGAUAAUCCAAACACCAGAAAAUAAAUGAGCUUCAGCCCUUUGUUAAAUAUUGGCAAGGAUUGUGUCCUAUGUUCUUGAUUGAGACAACUCAAUAUGUUAUGUACGUAAUAUUUAUUCUGCCUAUGACUCCAAAUGUUGUUGUAAUUCAUGUAACAUUGUUUUGAUUUGAUAAUUCCUGCUGGUGUUUUCAUUU